rnacentral:rRNA from 1 species
AUUGAACGCUGGCGGCAGGCUUAACACAUGCAAGUCGAGCGGGGAAGGGUAGCUUGCUACCUGACCUAGCGGCGGACGGGUGAGUAAUGCUUAGGAAUCUGCCUAUUAGUUGGGGACAACAUUCCGAAAGGAAUGCUAAUACCGCAUACGCACUACGGGGGAAAGCAGGGGAGCUUCGGUACGUGCGCUAAUAGAUGGUACUAAGUCAGAUUAGCUAGUGGGUGGGGUAAAGGACUACCAAGGCGACGAUCUGAAGCGGGUCUGAGAGGAUGAUCCGCCACACUGGGACUGAGACACGGCCCAGACUCCUACGGGAGGCAGCAGUGGGGAAUAUUGGACAAUGGGCGAAAGCCCGAUCCAGCCAUGCCGCGUGUGUGAAGAAGGCCUUUUGGUUGUAAAGCACUUUAAGCGAGGAGGAGGCUACUUGGAUUAAUACUCUAGGAUAGUGGACGUUACUCGCAGAAUAAGCACCGGCUAACUCUGUGCCAGCCGCCGCCGUAAAAC